rnacentral:rRNA from 1 species
GACGAACGCUGGCGGCGUGCUUAACACAUGCAAGUCGAACGAGUGGCGAACGGGUGAGUAAUGCUUGGGAAUCUGGCUUAUGGAGGGGGAUAACGACGGGAAACUGUAGCUAAUACCGCAUACCAUCAGAUGUGCCCAGAUGGGAUUAGCUAGUAGGUGGGGUAACGGCUCACCUAGGCGACGAUCCCUAGCUGGUCUGAGAGGAUGACCAGCCACACUGGAACUGAGACACGGUCCAGACUCCUACGGGAGGCAGCAGUGGGGAAUAUUGCACAAUGGGCGCAAGCCUGAUGCAGCCAUGCCGCGUGUGUGAAGAAGGCCUUCGGGUUGUAAAGCACUUUCAGCGGGGAGGCGUUACCCGCAGAAGAAGCACCGGCUAACUCCGUGCCAGCAGCCGCGGUAAUAC